rnacentral:rRNA from 1 species
AACGUAGGACGCAAGCGUUAUCCGGAGUUACUGGGCGUAAAGCGCGAGUAGGCGGUAGCGUAAGUUACCUAUGAAAGCUCCUGGCUCAACUGGGAGAGGAUAGGUGAUACUGCGAGACUAGAGUGUAACAGAGGAACGUGGAAUUCCGGGUGUAGUGGUGAAAUGCGUAGAUAUCCGGAGGAACACCAGUGGCGAAGGCGGCGUUCUGGGUUACAACUGACGCUAAGACGCGAAAGCAUGGGGAGCGAACGGG